rnacentral:lncRNA from 1 species
AUUUCUCAACUCACUUUGAUUUGAGUUGAGUCUUGGUUCACCAAUCUACUAGGCUUUGAAUUUCUUGGUUGAUGUUUUGUUUUUAAGUGCAUGCAAGCAUGAUUCCGCCUUUAAUUGUUAAUUGCAUGCUUAUAGAUGUUGCUUAAAUGAACAUGUUUUCACAAAAUCUUCCUUCACUUAUAUAUUUAUAGAGAGAAUGUAAGGCACGGCGAGGGUGAGUAAAAAGAGAAUUAAGACUCCUAAAUUCAGAUGGGAAAUAAGGUAGGAUAAGAUUAGGAUAGGAUAAGAUAAGAUAAGGUUAGUUUGGAUAAGAUAAGAUUGGAUAAGGUUUUGGAUAAUGUUCCUUCCUUUUAGCUGAUUCCUUAUCUUCUUUGUCUUGAAUUCAUUUUCUUCAUCUUUUCAGCACAUUCCUAGCCUCUUGAACUUCAAAAAUGUCCAUCCACCUUGCUCCAUGCAUGUGCUAUCCAUUCAUGGCUUAAAACUGCUCCAAAAUGCUCUAAAUUGCACUUUCUUGCCAACUGUGUCAUUUGGACCUACAAACACACUAAAAUGGCUUAAAUCACUAUAAUAAGCAAGAACUAACAACAUAAAUUCAAGAAAACAAGCUAACUAAGUCGCAUAAAUAUGCUCCUAUCAAAUUCCCCCACACUUAGCUUUUGCUAGUCCUCGAGCAAAAUGAAACAAACAAAACAUAACCUAGACCUUCCAACAUUUGCCUCAGGGAUUUCUAAUGAAACAUGACACAUUAAAAAUCACUACUCGCAUAGAUUUUAGCCAUCCUUACCCUCGAGCACACACUUAAUCAUAGUCACCACUCACUAGCUCGCAUUUAAUCAAUUAAAACAAUGUUUUGAAUGUAGUAACAUGCCUUUGAGAAUUCCCUCAAUUCCUCACUAGAUAUACUCUCUAUUUUCACACAUAUUUUCUGGAUAUACUCUCUAUUUUCACACAUGUAUAUAUAUGAUCUCAUGAAUGGAAUGCCACUACUUAGACGCGAGAACUGAGGAUUCCAUAUGCUCAUACCAAUCCCAAACUCCACAGAUUGAAACACACAACAACCAAGAUAGAAGUCACAGGAUUGUAAUGGGGCUAAGGGCAUUGGCUAACAAAGAAAGGUCAAGGAUAAACAAAGGUUCGUAAAGCAAUAGUAAGCAAAAAUUGUUGGAAAUGUGCCCUAAAACCAAUCAUAUGAUGAUACUUUACGGACAUUUCACAUGUUAAACUAAUCUAGUUUAAUAUCAAGGGCAUAGAUGUUGGAAGUAUGCCCACAAAGCCACUCAUUUGAUGUAAUAGCUUUUGGAAUACUUAUUGUAUUAAACUUUUAUAUGUUUAAUGAAGGGCAAAGCUUAUUGUUAAUCACUAUUUAUUGUAUCAUGUGUUUAAGCAAUAAGGGAAUCCAAGGAAUGUAUUUGAUCUAAGAGAUAAGUGAUUUAAGUAAGUUAGAUUAUCGAGACCUUUCUCUUAUGUUCAUUCCUAAAACGUUCCUAGCCAUAGGAUUGCCAAUUGGGCAUUGACAAUCCGCUAAGGUUAGUAUGUGUUAUGUCGACUCAAACGUGAGUAUGACUAGUCUCAUGUCAUUUAGUGUUGGACACUAAGGCAAACACAUAGGUGCUCGAAAGAGUGAUCGAGUACACUGAACAACGAUCAAAAGAGAGUUCGAACAUACAUGUCAUGUAAGAACUCGAAAGUUGCAAUAUGCAAGGUAGUCCUUUGACCUGAGGCAUCAUAGAUGUCUAAUGGUUAGGUCCUUGAUCUUUGAUCAUGUCAAAGGCAUUCCAUUGGAGUGUCCACGACAUUGUUGUGGUCAAGCUACCUAGUCAUGUAGGCAUAUGAAUGCACAACAAGGAAUCUCUAACCUUCCAUGGUGGAAGGAGAAUACUCUAAGAUAUGAUUCGAGAGUCUUUGGCCAAAGCAUAUGAAUAUGACUUCGGAAGUUUGUUCCAAAUCAUAUAGAUAAGUAUCACAUUGGAUAGUAGACAUGAAACAAACUAUCACCUAAAACAAUGUGAUUAAGAGUAUUGUAUUAGAGAAUGACCGUAUUGUAUUGUAAUUGUAACUGGAUAGGUUCUCCAACCACUUCUACUUAGCUUGGGUAACCAUGAUAUGCUGCUAGGUGUCACUCAUGGUUUGUGGAAGCCCUAAAGAUUAGCAAACACUAAUUUUAAGGGAGAAUUGAAAUGUGGUUUCAAUUCACAAUCGAUCGUUAAGAGUAAUAAUCGCCCACUACCUCGCUAAAUGGAACCUAAUGGAUCGUACACCGAGUAAGGAUGUUGGUGAAGAAAUUAAAUGAAAUAGAUAAGCAAUUAAAUGGUUUAAUUGAAGAAUGGUCAAGGUUAAUUAAUUAGUUAAUUAAUUAUAUGAAAUGUUCGUAUUGGGCUUAUAUGUUGGUUUUGGGUUUCGGGGCCCAAAAGCGUUUUGGUCCACAAGACCCAUUAUGUUCAAGUUGUAUGACAACUAAAACAAAAUGGGCAAUUAGCCCAAUCAAUUUGAUAUGGCCGGCCAUUAGGGUGAGAAGUGUCAAACUUGGAUUAAUUACAAGUUUGCCACUCACAUGUGAUGAAGUAUAAAUUCAACUUUAUAGCUUUAUUUUCAAUAAGGGGUUUUUCUUGGUGAAAUGAGGUGAAACAAUUUUCUCUCAUUUUCUCUAAAGAGGCCGGCCACCUAGGGAAGGAAUAGCUAGCAAACUCUUCUUCCCUAAGUCAUCCAUUUCAUCUUCACAUCACAUCCUUGGUGAAGAGACUUAGAGACAUCAAGCUUUUGAUGUUUUGGAGAACAAAUCCUUAAAUCCUCAAAGAAGCAAAGGAGCACAAAAGGAGGAAAAUCACAAGGAAGAUCCAAGGAGCAAGGAGGUGACUUGAAGGCCCUCCACUUGGGUGAAUCCCUUGUGUAAUCAAGGAUGAGUUUCAAGGGUAAAGAAACUCUAAAUCUUUCCUUCUCUUUAAUGUUGUUAAAGAGUUUAUUGGUUCACCAUAUACUAGGCUUUGAAAGUCAUGGGUUUUAUGAAUUUUUUUUAAUGCAUCCCUACUUUAAUGUGUUAAUAGUUUGCAUAUGUAUUCAAAUGUUCUUACUUGUUCUUAGCUAGGACAAAAUUUUUCCUUCAAUAGAUUAUUGUUUUAAGCCGUCUCAUAUAAAUGUUAUAUGCUUAAACGAUGAGUCCAAGGAAUAUGUAAUUAGGAUAAUGUAAUUUAAAGAAGUUAGAUUCAUGAGACCAUUCUCUUUCGUAUACAUAUCCUAAACGUUCCUGAUCAUAGGAUUGCCAAUUGGGCAUUGACAGUCCGUUAAGAUCAGUAUGUGCUAUGUCUUCUCUUACUGAGAGUGACUGGUCUCGAGUCAUUGGUGUGACUGACACCAAGACAAGUACGUAGGUGCUCAAUAAGGAAUGAGUUCACUGAACACGAUCAACGAAGAGUUCUCAUACUCAUGUCACAUGAGAACUCAUGGUUGGGAUAAUGCAAAGUAGUCAUUUGACCUGAGGCAUCAUAGUUGUCUUAUGGUUAGAUCCUUGAUCUUUGAUUAUGUCAAAGUCACUCCAUUCGCGGGUGUCCACGGCAUAGUUGGGGUUAAGCCACUUAGCCAUGGAGGCAAGUGAAUGCGCAACAAGGGAUCUCUAACAUUCAAACCGUUUGAGGGAGAGUACUCUAUGAUAUGAUUAAGAAUCUCUGGCCAGAGUAUGAAUGAGAUUUAGGAAGUCAUUCCAAAUCAC